GGGAUUGCCCUAGUAACGGCGAGUGAAGCGGCAACAGCUCAAAUUUGAAAUCUGGCCCUCGGGUCCGAGUUGUAAUUUGUAGAGGAUGCUUUUGGUGCGGUACCUUCCGAGUUCCCUGGAACGGGACGCCAUAGAGGGUGAGAGCCCCGUCUGGUUGGAUACCAAUCCUCUGUAAAGCUCCUUCGACGAGUCGAGUAGUUUGGGAAUGCUGCUCUAAAUGGGAGGUAUAUGUCUUCUAAAGCUAAAUAUUGGCCAGAGACCGAUAGCGCACAAGUAGAGUGAUCGAAAGAUGAAAAGCACUUUGAAAAGAGAGUUAAAAAGUACGUGAAAUUGUUGAAAGGGAAGCGCUUAUGACCAGACUUGGGCUUGGUUGAUCAUCCUGGGUUUUCCCUGGUGCACUCUUCCAGUUCAGGCCAGCAUCAGUUUGCUUCGGGGGAUAAAGGCUUCGGGAAUGUGGCUCCUCCGGGAGUGUUAUAGCCCGUUGUGUAAUACCCUGAAGCAGACUGAGGUUCGCGCAUCUGCAAGGAUGCUGGCGUAAUGGUCAUCAGCGA
rnacentral:rRNA from 1 species